AACGGUUGUAGGUCAGGCCAACUUAGCCUAUAAGCUAAGCUCAAAUGAGUACGUUCAAUUCGUGCUAACCGUUA
rnacentral:tRNA from 1 species